CUCACAUGCACACCUUCUCCCCCGCAUGUGCCCACUGCCAUGCCCCUGCGAUGCCCCCGUGCACACACACAUGCAUCAUCAUGCACCUUCACUCACACAUUCUUGCACGUGUGCAGUGGCCUUGGGACCAGGGGACUCGAACUGUUUAUCCCCAACACAUGUUCCCAUGAUAAAGAAAACAGGAAGGGACUUGGAGCCAGGGGCAGGAAGGGGAAGCGGCCUGCACGCAGGAUCCAGCUCCAGCCAGCGGACAUUGGGCGGUCUGCCUGGGUGGGAUGCAGGGGCAGGCAGACGGGCAGCUGCAGAGUGGGGAGGUGGGAUGGCCCUCCGUGGUGUCUUGCCCUGGUUUAAUCUUCACCACAGUCCCGGUGGGCAUUACCCCUUCCAGGCAAGAAACCGAGGCUGGGGCCAGGCUUGUCCCUGUCAUCCAGGAGGGCUCCUGGAGCUGGGAUUCAACGUGGGUUCAUCCGAUCAGGCUCCUCCCAGCCCUGGUCCCGCAGCCCACUUGUGUGGAGAUAGGGCUUCCUUUGGAAACACGGAAGCCUCAUCCUCCUGACUUCACUCCCCAGGCCCCUGAGCCAGAAGAGGCCUCAGUGUGGAUGGAAGAGCUGCCAGGAUGCCUCAGUACGAUGCUCCUCCCCGCUCUCAUUUCCCUGAGGCUCAUUUAUCCUCAGCACCGGCAUCUGCCCCCUCCUCCAGGAAGCCUCCUCUGACCUCCCCAGCCCUGAUGCCUCCCCUGCCAUAAACAUCAUCCUUCUUCUCAGGCUUGCUGCCACCUCCAGCCCUGCCAGAGAUCCCUGUCACUCUUCAGCUGCGCUUUCUCUGCUAGCUAGUCUUCCUGGAACACUCUCUCUUCCCUUCAAAAAUCUUUCUGGGCUGGGCACAGCGGCUUGGGCCUAUAAUCCCAGCACUUUGGAAGGCUGAGGCACUUUGGGAUCACUUGAGGUCAGGAGUUCGAGAUUAGCUUGGCCAACAUGCUGAAACCCCGUCUCUGCUAAAAAUACAAAAAUUAGCUGGGCGUUGUGGUAGGUGCUUGUAAUCCCAGCUACUCAGGAGGCUGAGGCAGGAGAAUUGCUUGAAUCCAGGAGGCAGAAGUUGCCGUGAGCCAAGAUGGUGCUAUUGCACUCCAGCCUGGGGAACAGUGAGACUCCAUCUCAAAAUAAUAAUAAUAAUAAUAAUAAUAAAACAACUUUCUGGGCCAAGAACAGCGGCUCAUGCCUGUAAUCCCAGCACUUUGGGAGGCCGAGGCAUGAGGAUUGCUUGAGCCCAGGGGUUCAACACCACCCAGAGCAACAUGGCGAGACCCCCUCUCUACAUAACAUAGUUAGGUGAGUGUGGCGGCACAGACCUGUGGUCUCAGCUACUUGAGAGGCUGAGGCAGGAGAAUCACCUGAGCCCAGGAGGUUGAGGCCGCCGUGAUCUGUGAUUGCACCACUGCACCCCAGGGUGACCCUGUCUCAAAAAAAAGAAAGAAAGAAAGAAAGAAAAAGAAGAAAUAUUUUCUCUCAAAGAUAACUCAAACGCCGGCUCUUCCAGGAAGCCGUCCUGGAUCUCUCUGAGUUUCUCUACCUUCUCUUUAAGUCAUUUCACUCCCUCUGGUCUCUGCAUACAGAACUGGGUAGAUCUCAAGCUCAGGGGUGCCCAGCAGAACCCAACCCAGGGUAAUGCCUCUGGGAUCUCCAGCCCUUGGCUUGUCCUGCCCUGCACUUUGUGGGGACCAGAGGAGCGGCUUGAUUGGCUCUGAGCCAAUCACACAACAAGAGCAUACUAAGAGCUUGCUGGAGUGUGUCCUUUCAACCAAUAUUUCCUGAGCACCCACACUAUGCCAGGCCCGGGAUCACAUGACUGCCCCUGGAGAUGCCAUCUCCACCCCGCAUCGACCCUCAGCACACAGUAGGUGCCCAGAGUGUUGGCUGCUCUUCACCAAACAAUCAAAGGCAGGGGUGGCCUUCCUGCAGCCUUGGAGACAGACAGCCUGGCUCCAGAUCCUGCUCACACCCCGUACUGACCCGGUGACCCUGGGUGGGUCCCUUAACCCCUCUGUGACAUGGACACAGUGGUUGCAGCAGCUCUGGAGAGCAGAGUGAGAUGACAGGGGUGGCCACACUUAAUGUAGCUCCUGGUCCCGGCAUGUACUCAGCAGCGGUAUCACUUGAUAUCCUCCUUCCCUAAAUGUCCAUAAAUGUCCCUGGCUGGCUGGAUGGAACCAUUCCCAAGGAAAGAUUGUACAGGCACUCCUGAGUCCCCAGGACCUGGGGCCUUGGGUACUGACCAAGCCCCUAGGGGUGCAGCGGCUUCUCAAGCAACAUUCUGGGGCUGCCCCAGAGAGGCCUGGGGGGCGGGGAGGGCAGUGCCCAGAUUUAUCCACCAAUCGCACAGGCUGCUGGCACUGAGCACAUUCUUAUCUGCCCAGCCCAGCAUGGGGGGGUGGCCAGGCCGGCCAGGGCGGGACGCUUCCCGGGGGCUGGACACGGAGGAGCCCCAAGCCCCGCUGGGUGGGUGACAGCCGCGGAGCCUCUGAGUGACCCUGCAGGCUGGUGGCCAGCC
rnacentral:lncRNA from 1 species